rnacentral:ncRNA from 1 species
CUAUGGCAUGAAUGUGUCAUGGCGGAAGGAG